GGCCGGGGCGGGGUUGAGGAUGCCAGCUCCGGGCUGAGGCCGCGCCGGUUUAAUGUCUGCUCUUCGGCUGGAAUAAGAUGUUCAAGUGAGCCAGAGGCAGGAAGAACCAGUUUAAUCUUCACAGCUGCGGGCCAGGAGAGAUGGUGAGUUGAUGAUGGAGAAAUAGAGCCCCAGAGAAGUAAAAUCAAUAACUCUACUCACGAGCGACAACUACUGAGCCCACGAGCCACAGCUACUGAAGCCUGCAUGCCUAGAGCCUGUGCUCCGCAACAAGAGAAGUCACCGCAAUGAGAAUCCCCCGCACCGCAAUGAAGAGUAGACCCCGCUCACCACAACUAGAGAAAGCCCGCAUGCAGCAACAAAGACCCAACACAGCCAAAAAUAUAUAAAUAAAUAAAUUUAUUUAAAAAAUUAAAAA